UAGGAUCCCCUCCCUCAGCCACUGACACACACACAUGCUCUCUCUGGCUCACACACACACACACACUCUGCUCCGUGAGGGAGCAGUCGCUGAAGAGCUCUGGAUAGACCAUGCGAGGUUCUGCAGGUGUCCCACCCUUCUCUCAUCACACAGAUGCUUUAGAAGUGUAUCCUGAAGCAGGAUGAACGAGCGGAGGGGGCAGAGGAGGAAAGAAGUCAUGCAACAAAGAUCCCAGGUUGACUCCAGAAGAGGAUGAGGUACAUGCAUGUGUUUGGUGGGGUCAAGGGCUGAGGGCUGGUGAGUGCUGACCUGAGCGAGAGGCCGGAUGACAUCUGAC